CCAGCCUGCCCAGUGACCCUGUUCAACGGCCGCGGUAUCCUAACCGUGCGAAGGUAGCGUAAUCACUUGUUCUUUAAAUGUGGACUAGUAUGAAUGGCAUCACGAAGGUUAUACUGUCUCCUUUUUCUAAUCAGUGAAACUAAUCUCCCCGUGAAGAAGCGAGGAUAAAAAUAUAAGACGAGAAGACCCUAUGGAGCUUUAAACAAAGUAGCACUCGCCACAUAAAUGAAAAAUUCCAGAAUCACCAUCUUCCUCAGGCAAUCUGACUACACGUUUUUGGUUGGGGUGACCGCGGAGUAUAACACAACCUCCAUGUUGAAAGAAAGCUCUCUAAACUAAGAGCUACACCUCUAAGUAUCAAAAGAUUGACAUCCAUUGACCCAAUAAAUUUGAACAACGAACCAAGUUACCCUAGGGAUAACAGCGCAAUCCACUUCAAGAGCUCCUAUCGACAAGUGGGUUUACGACCUCGAUGUUGGAUCAGGGUCUCCCAGUGGUGCAGCCGCUACUAAAGGUUCGUUUGUUCAACGAUUAAAACCCUACGUGAUCUGAGUCAGAC
rnacentral:rRNA from 1 species